rnacentral:tRNA from 1 species
GGCUCGAUGGUGAAACGGAAAUCAUCUCCGGCUUCUAACCGGAAGUUCCGGGUUCGAAUCCUGGUCGGGCUG